rnacentral:rRNA from 1 species
UGGGGAAUAUUGGACAAUGGGCGCAAGCCUGAUCCAGCAAUGCCGCGUGGGUGAAGAAGGCCUUCGGGUUGUAAAGCCCUUUUGUACGGGAAGAAAUCCUGUCGGUUAAUACCCGGCGGGGAUGACGGUACCGUAAGAAUAAGCACCGGCUAACUUCGUGCCAGCAGCCGCGGUAAUACGAAGGGUGCAAGCGUUAAUCGGAAUUACUGGGCGUAAAGCGUGCGUAGGCGGUUCGUUAAGUCUGUCGUGAAAGCCCUGGGCUCAACCUGGGAAUGGCGAUGGAUACUGGCGAGCUAGAGUCAGGUAGAGGGUGGCGGAAUUCCCGGUGUAGCGGUGAAAUGCGUAGAGAUCGGGAGGAACAUCUGUGGCGAAGGCGGCCACCUGGACCAUGACUGACGCUGAGGCACGAAAGCGUGGGGAGCAAACAGG